GCCCAGAUAGCUCAGUUGGUAGAGCAGAGGAUUGAAAAUCCUCGUGUCGGUGGUUCGAUUCCGCCUCUGGGC
rnacentral:tRNA from 1 species